rnacentral:tRNA from 1 species
CAAAAAAUAGUUUAAGUACAAAAUUCUAGUUUUGGGGACUAGAGAUGGGCGUGUCGUCUCUUUUUUGA